rfam:Beta vulgaris subsp. vulgaris Bvchr4.sca003.con0171.1, whole genome shotgun sequence.
GGAGAAAAAGAGCUAAGAGCUAGGGAAAAGGUGGAGCAUGAGAUGGAUCAGUCAACCAUAUAUAGAUGUUGAUGUUCCUCCCAUGCACUGCCUCUUCCCUGGCUCUCAUAUUAGUUCUUAAU